GCGAGGUGGGGUAGGCGGGCAAGGCGGGCGCCGAGGUUUGCAAAGGCUCGCAGCGGCCAGAAACCCGGCUCCGAGCGGCGGCGGCCCGGCUUCCGCUGCCCGUGAGCUAAGGACGGUCCGCUCCCUCUAGCCAGCUCCGAAUCCUGAUCCAGGCGGGGGCCAGGGGCCCCUCGCCUCCCCUCUGAGGACCGAAGAUGAGCUUCCUCUUCAGCAGCCGCUCUUCUAAAACAUUCAAACCAAAGAAGAAUAUCCCUGAAGGAUCUCAUCAGUAUGAACUCUUAAAACAUGCAGAAGCAACUCUAGGAAGUGGGAAUCUGAGACAAGCUGUUAUGUUGCCUGAGGGAGAGGAUCUCAAUGAAUGGAUUGCUGUGAACACUGUGGAUUUCUUUAACCAGAUCAACAUGUUAUAUGGAACUAUUACAGAAUUCUGCACUGAAGCAAGCUGUCCAGUCAUGUCUGCAGGUCCGAGAUAUGAAUAUCACUGGGCAGAUGGUACUAAUAUUAAAAAGCCAAUCAAAUGUUCUGCACCAAAAUACAUUGACUAUUUGAUGACUUGGGUUCAAGAUCAGCUUGAUGAUGAAACUCUUUUUCCUUCUAAGAUUGGUGAGUUAACAUUGUCGAAGUAUUCUUUCUUUUUUUAAAAUUUUAUUUUAUUAAUAUAAAUAGAGUUGGGGGGGUUUGCUGUGUUGUCCAGGUUGGUCUCAAACUCCUGGCCUCAAGUGAUCCUCCUGCCUUGGCCUCCCACAGUGCUGGGAUUACAGGUUUGAGCCACCGUAUCCAGCCUGUUUCUCUUUUUGAAUGAUAAAUCUGCUCUUUUUAACAUUGUUAUACUUGUAGAGACUGCCAAAUUCUCCUCCAAAAAGUUUGUACCAACAUGUACUCCCCCCAGCCCUGUUUGUGUUUGCCAGUGUUUCUUCACCAACACUGGUUAUUACUCAUUUUUUAAUAUUUUCUAAUUUGGUUAAAUUUCUGUUUUAAUAUGCAUUUAAAAAAUGUUGAUGAGAUUGAGCAUUUUAGCCUUUUUGUUUGUUUUAUUGAUCAUUGUGUGUUUUCUGUUUAUAUCUUUCAUCUAUUUCUGUGUAAAGGAUAUUAGCGCUUUGUCGUAUGUGUUGUAUAUCUUUUUCCCCGGGUUACCUUUUGUCUCAUUUUGUUCAUGGAGUAUUUUUGCUGUACACAACCUUACUAUUUUGUCCUAUUAUAUCUUUUAUGACUUGAUUUUAAUAUAACAAUUAGAAAGCUUUUCCCUGCUUCAAGAUUAUAAAAAUAUUUAUUCAUGUUUUCUUUUUUUAUUUUUUUAUUUUUUGAGACAGAGUCUCACUCUGUUGCCCAGGCUGGAGUGCAGCGGCACAAUCUUGGCUCACUGCAAUCUCCACCUCCCAGGUUCAAGCAGUUCUCAUGCCUCAGUCCCUGGGUAGCUGGGACUACAGGCACAUGCCACCAUGCCCAGCUAAUUUUUGUAUUUUUAGUAGAGAUGGGGUUUCACCAUGUUGGCCAGGCUGGUCUUGAACGCCUGACCUCAAGUGAUCUACCUGCCUUGGCAUCCCAAAGUGUUGGGAUUACAGGCAUGAGCCACCACGCCUGGCUGGGAAGUUUUUUUUCCCUGAAUGCUACAUUAAUUUUUUUCCAAAUGGAAAUACUAGUCAGUUUGUCCCAUUACCAUUUAUUAAACACAUUUGCCUUUUCUCCCCUGAUUAUCUUAUGUGCACAACAAAUUGCCAUAUAUUUUUGCAUGUUUUAGUCUCUUUAUCUGUUCCUAUAGAAAUUCCACACGUUGGUGACUGUGGCUCUGCAUCUGUUAG
rnacentral:lncRNA from 1 species